rnacentral:tmRNA from 1 species
GGGGAUGAUCGGCCUAGACAUUAGGACUAAUCCAACUUGUGCAUAGUCGAGGAUUCUAAGAAGCUCGUUAAAUAACCUUAGAGAUGAUUAAGUGCAAACUUGUCAAAAACUGCAAAUCGAGUUUUGUCUCCAUUUGCUUUCGCUUACGCUUUAGCUUAAAAAGCGACCGUAGGCCGUCUCUUCAACCGAUUUCCAUAGGUUGAAGCAAGGCGUAAUAUAUUGGAAUUAGGAUAUCACGACUCACUUAAAGAUAUCCGAACCCUUAAUUGGGAAAGGUGAUAGGCGUCUUAACGUUUCUUCUGUUUCUGAGUUAAGAUGCUGAAAUUCUCGGCGCAAGCCGGGAUUGAAGCAGAAUAAACUAUGUAGAAACAUUUCGGCUAACCUUUUGCACGGCGGUUCGAUUCCGCCCAUCUCCACUC